GAUGAACGCUGGCGGCGUGCCUAAUACAUGCAAGUCGAGCGAAUGGAUUAAGAGCUUGCUCUUAUGAAGUUAGCGGCGGACGGGUGAGUAACACGUGGGUAACCUGCCCAUAAGACUGGGAUAACUCCGGGAAACCGGGGCUAAUACCGGAUAACAUUUUGAACCGCAUGGUUCGAAAUUGAAAGGCGGCUUCGGCUGUCACUUAUGGAUGGACCCGCGUCGCAUUAGCUAGUUGGUGAGGUAACGGCUCACCAAGGCAACGAUGCGUAGCCGACCUGAGAGGGUGAACCGCCACCACGGGACUGAGACACGGCCCAGACACCUACGGGAGGCAGCAGUAGGGAAUCUGCCGCAAUGGACGAAAGUCUGACGGAGCAACGGCGCGUGAGUGAUGAAGGCUUUCGGGUCGUAAAACUCUGUUGUUAGGGAAGAACAAGUGCUAGUUGAAUAAGCUGGCACCUUGACGGUACCUAACCAGAAAGCCACGGUUAACUACGUGCCAGCCGCCGCAGUAAGAC
rnacentral:rRNA from 1 species